AUUGAACGCUGGCGGCAGGCCUAACACAUGCAAGUCGAACGAGUGGCGGACGGGUGAGUAAUGUCUGGGACACUGCCUGAUGGAGGGGGAUAACUACUGGACACGGUAUCUAAUACCGCAUACCCUCAGAUGUGCCCAGAUGGGAUUAGCUAGGUGGUGGGGUAACGGCUCACCAAGGCGACGAUCCCUAGCUGGUCUGAGAGGAUGACCAGCCACACUGGAACUGAGACACGGUCCAGACUCCUACGGGAGGCAGCAGUGGGGAAUAUUGCACAAUGGGCGCAAGCCUGAUGCAGCCAUGCCGCGUGUAUGAAGAAGGCCUUCGGGUUGUAAAGUACUUUCAGCGGGGAGGCGUUACCCGCAGAAGAAGCACCGGCUAACUCCGUGCCAGCAGCCGCGGUAAUAC
rnacentral:rRNA from 1 species